CCCGUCGAGCUAGAGCCUGUCUCCAGAAGGAUGCUCUUGCUCCAGACUCUUGACUGCUCUCCUUCCCUGGACGGCACCGCGGGCGGAGUGCGGUGGCACCAAUUAUAAAUCACAACACUCACAGGAGCUCAGGUGUGGCCUUAGGAUCUUUCUCAACAGAAUUCUCCUUGCAGCUUCUACCAACUGAUGGGAUUUGCAUGGAAGAGCAAAGGUUUGCAAGGUGCAUCUGCUGGUUUUGCCCGGACUCAGAAUGCUGGAUUCCGGUGGGUCAUUGGAUUGGAAGGUACCAGAUGCUUUAACCCAUAUUGUCAAAGACAAAACCGAGGCCCAGAGAAGUGCAUUGUCUUGCCCAAGGUCACAGAGCUGGUAAGGGACUGUAUCAGGAUUCAAAAUCCAGUUCCUGAGCCCUAAGGUGGAAGGACCCCUUAACUCCUUUCCCAUGAGACAGGACAGAGGGACCGGAAAAGAUCUCAGAGCUGUCCUCAAGACCUGAAGAAUGGAUUCAUCACCCUUGCUUCACCUCUGACAAUCGGCUCCCAGCUGGACCCCUGAACCAUGGUGUCUUGUGAUUUUUCCCUGUACAGUCUGUAACCUAUAUGCUUUUUGGGAGUCCGGCUUUCACAUUAGCUCUCUGUCCCUGGCCAAUUCAGUAUUACACUUUCU